rnacentral:lncRNA from 1 species
ACUGAUUUGUAAUUCUAUUUCAUGCUUUGAAUUUGCAAUACCGGAAAGAAAGAGAAAAGUAAGCUACUACCUUCAUGUCUGUUACCAUUACAGGAAAAACUCCUGUGAGAACUACAAGAGGCAGACCAUCUCAUUAGAGCUGUAUGUCCGUGAUUUCCAAACAGUCCUUGCCAGGAUCCCUUACACCCUCCAAGAUGCCUCCAGUGUUGCUGAAGGUGUCAGGUUUCAGGUGACUUGAAACAAUGAAACCCUGACUAAUUGCAGUUAUUAAAGAUAUUAGCUUGUUUUUCCUGUUAUGCGGUAUUGAAGUUUCCCUGAGGACAUAUCCAAGACAAAAGAUGUAGCAGUGAUUCUACACUUCUGUCUGCCUUCUGAAGUGCUCAAGUGAAGAAUCUCAUUUGUAAGCUGAGAGCCUAGAUAAUAUCAAAAGUACAAACAAUUACCAGACAAGGGUGUAACAUGUCAGUAUAAAAAAUGUACAGAAAUGCCACACUGCUCAUACACCUGCAGCUUGAAAUACUGAAGUAAUUGAAUGCAGACCUCCAAAUC